UACGGAGGGGGCUAGCGUUGUUCGGAAUUACUGGGCGUAAAGCGCACGUAGGCGGCUUUGUAAGUUAGAGGUGAAAGCCCGGGGCUCAACUCCGGAAUUGCCUUUAAGACUGCAUCGCUUGAACACGGGAGAGGUGAGUGGAAUUCCGAGUGUAGAGGUGAAAUUCGUAGAAUAUUCGGAAGAACACCAGUGGCGAAGGCGGCUCACUGGACCGUUGUUGACGCGUGGAGGUGACGAAAGCGUGGGGAGCAAACAGG
rnacentral:rRNA from 1 species